UCGAGGAGGGUGUUUUUAAAAUGUUUCUGCAAUUGAAGCCUUUCCGGAUCACUGGAAUGAAAGCAUACACACAUGAAGUGGAUCAGAGGGAGGUUGUUCUGGACAUGUAUAUAAGUUACGAAGGUGACGUGGACAUCAACGCUGUGGUGAAGCCACCGAUCACAGCUGGUGUCAAACAAAUCAAACUCAAGGGGAUGCUGAGGGUUAUUUUAGAUCCUCUCAUUGGUCAAGCACCACUGGUGGGAGGUGUCACCUUUUUUUUUUCAUACAUUGUCC